GCAUUUUUCGUAAUGCUGAAGGCACGGGAGCGAACCCCCCUGGUUUUGUCCAUGGUUUUGUCUGUUACACUGAACUCUUUAAUGGGGUCUGUUAUUUGAAUUGAUUUUGUUAGGUAAAGAUUGAAGGCACUGUGACUAUAAAUAAUGGAAGGCUCGUUGCUGUCGGCGGUUCUGAAGACAGCGGUUCGAUCCAGCUGAAGGACGUCACCUGGCAGAAAGUUGCAGAGUGUGGUGGCCAGUAUCAAGCCACAUUGUCCAGAAACCAUCACAUUAUCUCCAGGUCACUAGUCGCCGGUGCUCGAGCUGAUGGCGUCGUUCAAGGGCUCCACGCUGCCGCCGCCGCCGCGACCAUCCGACUCCUGGGCCCUGUUUCACGGCAGCGUACUGCAGCGUGCUACGCAGCGCUGCUGUGUUAGUGCGGCGAUUGAGACGAAUUCGGCUCGACGCUCCAGCGUUGCGAAACACCCGUGUUUGGGGUUUGGUAUUUUAACGGGCUCUCCGAUGACGUCCCGCAAUUUGUGUUAUAUAAUUUGACGAUUAUGUCGUAGUCUCAUUCUGUCUCGAUAUGCUAAUAAAUGAUAAAUGGGACGGAGGUUGGAAGUAAGGUGUGAGUGGCUGUAACCGGCAGGUUUUGGCGAGCGCGAUAUUAGUUAUCGUGAGCGCGCCAGCUGCAAUCAAUCGCGCGCUUCUGGCGAGAAAAUACUUGCUCUGGAACCUAGAAGUUUGUCGUGAAAUCUAUGUACCUUUGGAUUGAAUUAUUAGAACAUAAUGUACUUUCGGUGUCCAGCACUGCAGCUCUGGAAACAGAAAUAUGGAUGUUGGCUGUUUGAUGUAGCAAGGGCUAACAAUCCGCGUCAAGAAUCAAAAGCUGUAUGCAAAUUAAAGUGAAUAUAUUUCAAUGAAUUUUUUAAUUUUGUGAUACAAAACAUAAAUGUGUCAACUACUGAUUACACCCGGCUGCAAACACUGUAACGCUUGCAAUGCUGUACGGCAAAUAGAUAAUAUAGAUUCUC